UUUUAGCAUUUUAAAAACUGUCUUUCCAUCUUUCAUAAACUAAUUUACUUUGCUGUUUAGCCUGUACCUGCCCUCUUUGACCAUUUCCUUUUUUUUUUUCACCCUUGUUAGAGGGUGAUAUGUAUUAACAAUUCUGUUUGGGUAUUGUUCAGCAGCCCCAUAUCGCCUCUAAGUGUUUAAUUUUCUUAAAAUCCCUUUUUAAUGUGCUUUUAUCAAUUUUCUUCAUAUACACAUACUCUUAAUCUUACAGAUCUGAGCAUAACUGAGAUGGAUGUUUGGCCUUUUUAUUCUGCAGGGACAGUGAAUCUAAAGGAUGCUGUAGUCACUGCUGCUGCAGAAAACGAACACUGACACUGUCUGCACAUAUCACCUCUGGGCAAACCUUAGACAAGAUGUGAGGCAACAGCUAUGGUGGUAACCGGAUUUUCCACAUACAAGAAUAUUUUCUGUCCCUCUGAUCUCUGUGUAUGCAGUUAAAGUUAUGGUUCUGGUACAAGGAACAAUACUAAGGAUAUAAUGUUAUUCUCUUCUUAUUGAAAAUGAAAUUUCAGCCCAUGUUGCACAAAAUUCCUAACAAUUCCUAAUACCAAAUGUGAUCUUUAAACUAUUAAGAUUUUUUUUUUUUACUGAUCUCAAGUGCUACAAAUUCAUGUCCAGACUUGCACCUUACUGUGAAUUAUGUCCUUCCAGAUGGCAGGUGACACUCACACAUACUCAUUCACACAGUAACACACACAGUUCCACACUCACACUCACACUCACUCACACAUAGGUUAUAUCAAAAAGCAGUGGAAGUACAGUUGCUCUGGUCUCUCUUAUUUCCAAAAUAAAUCUUUGACACGUUUUUCUGAUGGCCUUUAAAGAAGGAGUGACCUAUGUACAAUUUUUUU